GCUCUUGAAUUUCUCUUUCUGCAAACUGUUUAAGUACAAUGUGUAACUCAAGUCACUGUCAACAUGUAAAGUCUUUACUCCAGAAAGUUCCCCCAUGCCUCUUUCAUGUCAGUCCCCACCCCAUUAUCUCCAGAGGCAGUGGCUUCAGGGAUGCUUUUUCUGCCCAUGGAUUAGUUUUGCCUGUUCUGGGAUUUUGUAUAAAUGGAAUCACAUAGUGUGUACUCUUUUGUGUAAGGCUUCUUUCACUCAGCAUAGUUUUUUUGCAAUCCAUCUAUGUUGUUUGGUGUCAUUUUUAUUACUGAGCUUAUUCCAUUGUGUGAUUACACUACAGUUGAUCCAGUCUCUUAUUGAUGGACAACUGAGUUGUUUUCAGGUUUUGGCUAUUUGAAUAAAGCUGCUGUGAACUUUUUUUUUUUUUUUUUUUGAGACUGAGUCUUGCUCUGUUGCCAGGCUGGAGUGCAGUGGCUUGAUCUCCGCUCACUGCAACUUCUGCCUCCCAGGUUCAAGCGAAUCGCCUGCCUCAGCCUCCUGAGUAGCUGAGACUAUAGGCCCACGCCACCAUGCCCGGCUAAUUUUUUGUAUUUUAGUAGAGACGGGGUUUUACCAUAUUGGCCAGGAUGAUCUCAAUCUCCUGACCUCAUGAUCCGCCUGCCUUGGCCUCCCAAAGUGCUGGGAUUACAGGUGUGAGCCACCGCACCCAGCCAGUGAACAUUUUUAUACACAUUUUUUUGCGAACGUAUGUUUUCAUUUCUCUUGGGUAAAUGAAAAGGAGUGAAAUUGCUGAGUCAUAGGGUAGGCAUAUGUUAAAUUUUACAAGAAACUGCCAAACUUUGCAAACUGCAUUCCCAAAGUGGUUGUAUAAUAUAGUUUUAUACUCCUACCAGAAG
rnacentral:lncRNA from 1 species